UUGGCCUCCCUGAUUCCACCAAUUUUAAAACAAAAACCUCCAUUUUGUUCGAUUUGAAAUAGCAGCUGAGAGAUGGAGGUUGAUUCUUCUGCAUUUGAACCGCAAGUUACCGCUCUCGAUGUGACCGAAGCAGUUCGCCUACUAAAUGUGGUGACGAUCAUUUGUGGAAACGAACACUGCGAUAUUAACAAGCUGCUAGAACGUUUGGAAUCGUCGACUUUCAAUGAAGACAUCAGGCCGAUGGCAACUCGAGCUGAAUGUGUCGAGAUACUAUCGUCGUCGCCACACUUUACGCAAACUGUCAAUUUGGCAGUCACCCACAUAACCGAGUCCGUGACUCGAUCAAUAACGGACCUCAUCAACGACCAACGAGAUAACACCAACGAAACCUGUCAAAGCAUCACCCAGAACUGCGACACCCUUCGUAACUACUUCAAAGCCUUAGAUCAUAUAUAUUUUCAAACGGUAAGCACAAGUACUCCGUUUCAAUUUUCCACGAGAGAAACAGCUGUAAGCGGUUUUCUGGUGGGCCUGGUGAAAUUAUUACGCGAAUCCGAUUUUUCAAUUUUGCCAAACAUACCUGUCUUGACCACAGUCAGUCAAAUCGUGAAACUAUUUAAAGACAUUGCCUUCAUACGGCCCGUGGUUCUGACCGAGCUGUGUACGAGUCUGGAAAUAAUGAAGGGGACAAUUUUGGCGCACGAACAGUGUUUUUUAUUCGAAAUCGGAUUUUACGAGAAACUUCUCCAGACUUUAUUCAUUUUGAAAGAUCUCUUGUCGUUUUGUGUGCAAAUGGGCGAUAUUUAUCAUUCUGAUUUGUAUCAAUUGGACAGCAGUACGUUGGCAGCCGUACAAAAAUCAUUGGAAGAAGUAGUUGAGAGUGUGCCCACGUAUUUAGUGCGAGAAAUUCAGGAAUGUAUAAAUUUAGUAAUUCCAUAAUUCUUUGCUAUAUACAGAUAUGAAAAGUCUGUAAUAAGCUAGUCCCCCCUUUCAAAAGAACACGUUUCACCAGAAAAAUAAACAAAAUUUACUGUUACUCGAAAGGAAACACAUUGAACCCUUGGUUGAUUGAAAAACGGUUGUUUUUGGACCCCCCCUUUCUCACAUUGCUUACGCACUGUCCGGUAGAGGUCACGAGAUGGAAAAGGAACAGAUACAGUUUACAAUUAGAACUGUAUUAGCUACUCACAACUGAAUACAUGCAUACGAUACAAAAGAAAAACAAAUUCUGUAUGCUAGGUAGCUAAUUGGGCGAAGUUCGACUGCAGUAUCAACAGAAACUGCAUUCGCUCUUCCACUUUUAGCGUAAUCCCGCUUCUACAAGAUAGGUAACCCGCCCCUGGUUUCGGUGUUUCGAGCCUACAGUUGAAAGUCGAAGACAAUCACGGAAUUAGGUGUCGUAGCUCA